rnacentral:tRNA from 1 species
AAUGAAGUGCCUGACAAAAGGGUUACAAUGAUAGAGUAAAUUAUGUAAAAGCACUUACCUUCAUUA